rnacentral:rRNA from 1 species
UCAGGAUGAACGCUGGCGGCGUGCCUAAUACAUGCAAGUCGAACGAGAGUGCUUGCACUCUAGUGGCGAACGGGUGAGUAACACGUAGGUAACCUGCCUUACAGUUUGGGAUACCCUGGCGAAAGCUAGGCUAAUACCGAAUAAUUGGAUUGGAGGCAUCUCCGAUCUCUAAAAGGGGCCUUUAAAGCCUCGCUGAAUGAUGGACCUGCGGCGCAUUAGCUAGUUGGUGAGAUAACAGCCCACCAAGGCGAGGAUGCGUAGCCGACCUGAGAGGGUGAACGGCCACACUGGAACUGAGACACGGUCCAGACUCCUACGGGAGGCAGCAGUAGGGAGUUUUCGGCAAUGGGGGCAACCCUGACCGAGCAACGCCGCGUGAAUGAUGAAGGUCCUUCGGAUUGUAAAGUUCUGUUAUAAGGGAAAAAUGAUAUGGUGAGGAAAUGCUCCAUAUUUGAUGGUACCUUAUUAGAAAGCCACGGCUAACUACGUGCCAGCAGCUGC